AAAAAAGUCAAUGUCAUAAAAGACAAAGAAAGGCUGAAGAAGUGAUUCAGCCCGUGAUCCUUGACUGGAUCCUGGGUGAAAGCAAAAGCAGCUCUAAAGGACACUUUGCAGACUAAAUGUUAGCUAACACCAUUGUAUCAGUGAGAAAGUGCAGAGUGUGGUGAGUCCAUUGAGGCUCUGUAGAAGAAAGUCCUUGUUCUUUUUGUUUGUUUGUUUUUGAGACGGCGUCUCACCCCAUUGCCCAGGUUGGAGUACAAUGGCACAAUCUUGGCUCACUGCAAACCUCCACCUCCCGGGUUCAAGCGAUUCUCCUGCCUCAGCCUCCCGAGUAGCUGGGAUUACGGGUGCAGGACAGAAAAUCAUUCCUCUGCUCACCUGAGAGAAAUGCUUAUCUGAUUGCUUCCUCAGACCUACUGUGUAUGUAAAAAUGAAGAUUCACUGAGCCAGACUAGAUUGUGAAUUCACUGAAAGGCUGAUCAAGGACUCAAAAGAAUGCAAGCUUUUGUCUCUUAUCUACCUAUGACCUGGAAGCCCCCCUCUUCGAGUUGUCCUGUGUUACUGGAUGGAACCAAAGUAUAUCUUACAUAUAUUAAUUGAUGUCUCAGGUCUCCCUAAAAUGCACAAAAGCAAGCUGUACCCCAGCCACCUUGGGGACGUGUCGUCAGGAC
rnacentral:lncRNA from 1 species